CUGGAACCAAAGAUUUUCCUUUAAACCAAGUGCUUUACUCUUAUGUAAUGAAAGGGGUAGCCAGCAUGUCGCCUCCCAUCUCCUGGGGAACAAUAUUACACCGUGAUGCCUUGACAGGGUUGAUCAUGAAAAGCAUUAAAUUGGUUCCCCAGCAGCAGGAGGGGGGCCCACUGGCUACUGUAAUUAUACAUCAUAUGUACAGUAUUCUGUGAAGCUAUAGCUUGCUUGAUUUCCCACCUAUUUAUACAACAUAACUAACUAUUCUCAGCCUUCAUUAUUACUGAGAUAUUAUACACAGUGAAACCCCCUUGGACCACCAAUAACAUUAAAACAAGUUAUUCCCAGUUUGCCUUGUGCUGUCAAGGGGGUUUAAAUAACACGACUUUACCUCAAGCGAAACAAACAAAACAUAUGUAUAUGUAUGUACAAACUCAUGCAAUGAACAGAGGCAGAAAAUAAAAC